rnacentral:sRNA from 1 species
UCGUAUUAUUACUUGUAAAUAUUAUCAUUUCAAAUUAUUGCACUACGCGAUAGUUCAAUCAGAUUCAAAUUAAGGGACACAUCAUGUCUAAUACAACAACUGGUCUAGUAAAAUGGUUUAACGAAGAGAAAGGUUUUGGUUUCAUUACUCAAGACAACGGCGGUGCUGACGUAUUCGUUCACUUCCGUGCUAUCGCUUCUGAAGGCUUCAAGACAUUGGCUGAAGGUCAAAAAGUGUCUUUCGAAGUAGAACAAGGCCAAAAAGGCCUACAAGCUGCAAAUGUUGUAGCUAUCUAAUUUAUCCUCGUUGAUAAAUAAUAAAAAUGCUGGCUAAGGCCG